rnacentral:rRNA from 1 species
AGUGAACGCUGGCGGUAGGCCUAACACAUGCAAGUCGAACGGCAGCACGGUAAGAGCUUGCUCUUACGGGUGGCGAGUGGCGGACGGGUGAGGAAUACAUCGGAAUCUACUUUUUCGUGGGGGAUAACGUAGGGAAACUUACGCUAAUACCGCAUACGACCUACGGGUGAAAGCAGGGGAUCUUCGGACCUUGCGCGAUUGAAUGAGCCGAUGUCGGAUUAGCUAGUUGGCGGGGUAAAGGCCCACCAAGGCGACGAUCCGUAGCUGGUCUGAGAGGAUGAUCAGCCACACUGGAACUGAGACACGGUCCAGACUCCUACGGGAGGCAGCAGUGGGGAAUAUUGGACAGUGGGCGCAAGCCUGAUCCAGCCAUACCGCGUGGGUGAAGAAGGCCUUCGGGUUGUAAAGCCCUUUUGUUGGGAAAGAAAAGCAGCAGGUUAAUACCCCGCUGUUCUGACGGUACCCAAAGAAUAAGCACCGGCUAACUUCGU